rnacentral:tRNA from 1 species
UAGCCCCUAGUGAGGGUCGAACUCACGACCUCUGGAUUAGGAGUCCAAUGCGCUUUCCACUGCGCCAUAGGGG